rnacentral:rRNA from 1 species
AUUGAACGCUGGCGGCAGGCUUAACACAUGCAAGUCGAACGAGUGGCGGACGGGUGAGUAAUGCUUGGGAAUCUGGCUUAUGGAGGGGGAUCACGACGGGCAACUGUCGCUAAUACCGCGUUCCAUAGGAUGAGCCCCAGUGGGAUUAGGUAGUUGGGUGGGUAAUGGCCUACCAAGACGACGAUCUCUAGCUGGUCUGAGAGGAUGACCAGCCACACCGGGACGGAGACACGGCCCGGACGCCUACGGGAGGCAGCAGUGGGGAAUAUUGCGCAAUGGGGGAAACCUGACGCAGCCAUGCCGCGUGAAUGAAGAAGGCCUUCGGGUUGUAAAGUGCUUUCGGUGACGAGGCGUUAAUCACAGAAGAAGCACCGGCUAACUCCGUGCCAGCCGCCGCGGUAAUAC